rnacentral:rRNA from 1 species
AUGAACGCUAGCGACAGGCCUAACACAUGCAAGUCGAGGGGCAGCACAAGGAGCAAUCUGAGGUGGCGACCGGCGCACGGGUGAGUAACACGUAUGCAACCUGCCUGUAAGCGGGGAAUAACCCGUUGAAAGACGGACUAAUACCGCAUAAUACUAAAUUACUGCAUGGUAAUUUAUUUAAACAUUCAUGGCUUACAGAUGGGCAUGCGCAUGAUUAGCUAGUUGGAGAGGUAACGGCUCCCCAAGGCAACGAUCAUUAGGGGUUCUGAGAGGAAGGUCCCCCACACUGGUACUGAGACACGGACCAGACUCCUACGGGAGGCAGCAGUGAGGAAUAUUGGUCAGUGGACGAGAGUCUGAACCAGCCAAGUCGCGUGCAGGAAGAAUGUCCCUAUGGAUUGUAAACUGCUUUUGCAGGGGAAUAAAGUGCAUCACGUGUGAUGUUUUGUAUGUACUCUGCGAAUAAGGAUCGGCUAACUCCGUGCCAGCCGCAGC